rnacentral:rRNA from 1 species
CAGUAGGGAAUAUUGGGCAAUGGGCGAAAGCCUGACCCAGCAACGCCGCGUGCAUGAUGAAGGUCUUCGGAUCGUAAAAUGCUUUUCUGAGGGAUGAGCAAGGACAGUACCUCAGGAAUAAGUCUCGGCUAACUACGUGCCAGCAGCCGCGGUAACACGUAGGAGGCAAGCGUUAUCCGGAUUUACUGGGCGUAAAGCGCGUGCAGGCGGUUCGGUAAGUUGGAUGUGAAAGCUCCUGGCUCAACUGGGAGAGGUCGUUCAAUACUACCGGACUUGAGAGCAGUAGAGGGAGGUGGAAUUCCCGGUGUAGUGGUGAAAUGCGUAGAUAUCGGGAGGAACACCAGUGGCGAAAGCGGCCUCCUGGACUGUUUCUGACGCUCAGACGCGAAAGCUAGGGUAGCAAACGGGAUUAGA